rnacentral:RNase_P_RNA from 3 species
CCAGUCGGCCGGACGGCCGCCGCAUGCGGGGCGACCCAUGUGCGGAGGAAAGUCCGGGCUCCCAGGAAACACGGUGCCGGAUAACGUCCGGCGGGGGCGACCCCAGGGACAGUGCCACAGAAAGCAAACCGCCCUUCGAAGCCCCGGCGGAGAAGGGCAAGGGUGAAAGGGUGCGGUAAGAGCGCACCGCGCCGGCGGCAACGUCGGCGGCACGGCAAACCCCACCGGGAGCAAAACCGAAUAGGGACGACGGGGGCGCGCAAGCGUCCGGGCCGGUUUCCAGGCCUGUCGUCCGGGUUGGUUGCUCGAGGCGGUCGGCAACGACCGUCCCAGAUGAAUGGCCGUCACGUCCGGGGCGACCCGGGCCAUACAGAACCCGGCUUACAGGCCGACUGGCAUU